rnacentral:rRNA from 1 species
UGCCUUAAGUAACGGCGAGUGAGCGGCAAAAGCUCAAAUUUGAAAUCUGGCGUCUUCGACGUCCGCAGUUGUAAUUUGAAGAAGGCGACUUUGUAGCUGGUCCUUGUCUAUGUUCCUUGGAACAGGACGUCAUAGAGGGUGAGAAUCCCGUGUGGCGAGGAUCCCAGUUAUUUGUAAAGUGCUUUCGACGAGUCGAGUUGUUUGGGAAUGCAGCUCUAAGUGGGUGGUAAAUUCCAUCUAAAGCUAAAUAUUGGCGAGAGACCGAUAGCGAACAAGUACAGUGAUGGAAAGAUGAAAAGAACUUUGAAAAGAGAGUGAAAAAGUACGUGAAAUUGUUGAAAGGGAAGGGCAUUUGAUCAGACAUGGCGUUUGCUUCGGCUUUCGCUGGGCCAGCAUCAGUUUUAGCGGUUGGAUAAAUCCUCGGGAAUGUGGCUCUGCUUCGGUAGAGUGUUAUAGCCCGUGGGAAUACAGCCAGCUGGGACUGAGGAUUGCGACUUUUGUCAAGGAUGCUGGCGUAAUGGUUAAAUGCCGCCCG